ACUGAAAUAGCUCAGUUAGUAGUAGAGAGCGUUAGACUACAGAUCGAAAAGUCCGUGGUUCAAUCCCGGGUUCCGGCA
rnacentral:tRNA from 1 species